AUACGUAGGGGGCGAGCGUUAUCCGGAAUUAUUGGGCGUAAAGAGUACGUAGGUGGUUUUGUAAGCGCAGGGUGAAAGCCCGGGGCCCAACUCCGGCGAGCCCUGCGAACUGCAAGACUUGAGUGCAGGAGGGGAAAGUGGAAUUCCUGGUGUAGCGGUGAAAUGCGUAGAUAUCAGGAGGAAUACCGGUGGCGAAGGCGACUUUCUGGACUGUAACUGACACGGAGGUUCGAAAGCGUGGGGAGCAAACAGGAUUAGAUCCCCUGGUAGUCCACGCCGUAAACGAUGAGUGCUAGGUGUCGGGGGUCGAACCUCGGUGCCGCAGUUAACGCAUUAAGCACUCCGCCUGGGGAGUACGUACGCAAGUAUGAAACUCAAAGGAAUUGACGGGG
rnacentral:rRNA from 1 species